UCCCUCUUAGCUCAGUUGGUAGAGCGCGUCACUAGUAUAUGAUAGUUCGUAUGUGAUGACGAGGUCAGUCGUUCAAGUCGGCUAGAGGGAA